rnacentral:sRNA from 1 species
AGCAGCCGCGGUAAUUCCAGCUCCAAUAGCGUAUAUUAAAGUUGUUGCAGUUAAAAAGCUCGUAGUUGAAUUUCGGGGUUAGUAGGUUGGUCAUGCCUCUGGUAUGUACUGGUCUCACUGAUUCCUCCUUCCUUAUGAACCGUAAUGCCAUUAAUUUGGUGUUGCGGGAAAUUUGGACUGUUACUUUGAAAAAAUUAGAGUGUUUAAAGCAAGCUAACGCUUGAAUACAUUAGCAUGGAAUAAUGAAAUAGGACGUUCGAUUUUAUUCUGUUGGUUUCUAGGAUUGACGUAAUGAUUAAUAGGGAUAGUUGGGGGCAUUAGUAUUCAAUUGUCAGAGGUGAAAUUCUUGGAUUUAUUGAAGACUAACUACUGCGAAAGCAUUUGCCAAGGAUGUUUUCAUUAAUCAAGAACGAAAGUUAGGGGAUCGAAGACGAUCAGAUACCGUCGUAGUCUUAACCAUAAACUAUGCCGACUAGGGAUCGGAUGAUGUUAAUUUUUUAAUGACUCAUUCGGCGCCUUA